rnacentral:misc_RNA from 1 species
GUUACUUGUCAGUCAGUUUAUGUGGUACCCAUUUGUCAAGCUUUUUCACUUUCCCCAUGGCCUUUAGGUGUCGGGAAACAGUGGAAUAGUGAACGUUGAUGCUGUGUGCAAUAUCUCGAACUGAUAAACGCGAGUCUGCUUCAACCAUGUCUUUCAAAACACUAUCAUCAAUCACUGAUGGUGCAUGGUCGCGAGGCAAAUUGUCGAAAUUUGUAUCACCAGACCGAAACUUUUCAAACCAACGUCUAAUGGUUCGACCACUUACAGAACCUUCCCCAAAAGCAGUGUUUAUGUUUCGCGUUGCCUCGACCGCACUAUGACCAAGUUUGUAUUCGUACAAGAAUAUUAUCCGCAUUUCCUUACUUUCCAUGUCGAAGAGACAGCGAUUUUCAACGAUAUAAACAAUGUGAUAAAAGUAAAGUUAUGCGUGCGAAUUUACGUGUGGGGCAUAUACUUUUCAAAUAUCACGCAUGCAACGACAGCUGCAUGAAAAGAGCUGAACUACUCGGCCGGGAAAUUUAAAUUUUGAAAAACGGCCAUUUCAUCUGCAACAACCUAAUUUUUAGUCAUGUCGAAGAUUUAGAUAGAAUGUAACGAACAUACAACACAUAAUGCAAUUGAAAAUACUUUCCAUAUCGAUGUCGAGUGUAACAAUAAGAAUAGUGAACUGGAUGCAAGAACACUCAUUGAAGCAGAAGUAGUACAACCUACCAAAACAACCAAUUCUGGAGACAUUGCAGUGAAGCGUAAUAUAUAUGAUGAAACAACUGUUAAAAAAUUGAAGCAAUCAUUAAAAUAGAUGCAACAAAAAAAUCGUCUAUUGAAAAAACGGUUGCAAAAAAGGAAUGCACAUUUUCAGACAUUGUUUAACAAAGACCAAACGGAUUUUCUCGCACGUAAUACACAAAGGGGACACACAUGGUCUGCAAAUACUAUAAAUAAAGCAUUGAGACUAUAUGUGGCCUGCGGUUAGGAUAUGAAGAAUUGCGCAGGCAGAAUCUACCAUAUCCAAGUAUCCGCACUUUACAGCAUCGUAUACAGGGCUUACACUUUAAGCCAGGUACUUAUGAAGAGAUAAUGAACCUUAUAAAAAUAAAGAUACAAUCUUUUCGACCAGAAGAAAAACACGCAGUAUUAUUAAUAGACGAAAUGUCUAUAAAACCGGGUUUACAGUAUGAUAGUUGUACGGCUUCAAUUAUUGGACGACCAACAAUGAAAUUAUCAGGUGGAUUAGAUUGUAGCAAUAAACAAGCUACUCAUAACCAUAGUGUUUAUGCUGUGUGGUGUUUCCACGAAAUGGAAGCAAACUGUUGGUUACGAAUUCACAGCCAAUUCAUUUUGUGCUAAUGAAAUAGUGCAGAAGAUCACAACAAUAAUUCAAAAGGCACACGAUAUUGGACUGACAAUCAAGGUAAUAAUAUCCGACAUGGGCGCACUAAACAGAAUUUGGUGGAAAAUAUUGAAUAUUACGGCUAGCAAAUUUAGCAAAAUCAAUAAUUCUAUUCAACACCCAUGCGACGACCAAGAUAGAUUGUUUGUUAUGGCAGAUACUGUUCACGUAUAUAAAAAUGUUGCAUGCUCACUAACAUCGGGAAAAACAUUUUAUGUGGAUGAAACAAUAAUGAAAAGAUAUAACUUGUCACAUAAAGCAAUUUCCAUUGUGCCUAUUCGUGAAGUAUUUCAUUUAGACCGAAACGAAACAUUGAAAUUGUGUCUACGUCUCACAGAACAUUGUAUAAAUCCAUCGCAUUUUGAAAAAAUGAAUGCUGCAUUAAGUGUUGCAGUAUUGAAUAAUAAUGUUGCUGCUGCAAUAUUAUAUCAUAUAAAUCACGGCCGCAUUGCUGAUAUACAUAAGACUACUGCUUGGUUCUUAACAAUAAUACACAAGUGGUUCAAAAUUAUGACAAGUUAUGAAAAACUUGCGUUAUCUCAUUCUAAUGAAUAUACAAUGAUCAUAUAACGUUUCUAAAAGAGUUUAUGGAUAUUGUGAGAGCAAUAACAGUCGAUGCUGGUAAAUGGCAACCAUUCCAGAGUGGUUUAUUAUUGUGUACACAAACUGCUCUGGAUGUACAAGUAGAAUAUUUAGAGAAGUAUAAGUUUAAAUAUACAGUCUGUAAAGUAAGAGCGUGCACGGCAUAAAUAGCAGUUGGCUUCAAGUAUCGUUCUAGUUUUUUUGUGAGCCGAUAGAUGAAAUCUUUGUCAUGAAUGCUUUGUCACAAAAGA